CCCUCAGCCUCGGGCCUGCAGUCUUGAGAACAAGCACCAUGCCUACGAUAAAGAGUUCUGUUGGAGAGGUAUUUGAAGCUUAUGUAGAAAUUGCCAAACAAUCUGUGACUAUCAAGACCAUGCCGGAAGAUUUGGGAAUGGAUGAUGAAGGAGAUGAUGAUCCUGUUCCUUUACCAAAUGUUAAUGCAACAAUUCUAAAAAAGCUCAUUCAGUGGUGCACCCACCACAAAGGUGACCCUCCUCCUCCUGAGGAUGAUGAAAACAAAGAAAAGCAGACAGAUGAUAUUCCUGUUUGGGACCAAGAAUUCCUGAAAGUUUACCAAGGAACACUUUUUGAACUUAUUCUGUUUGCAAACUACUUAGACAUCAAAAGUUUGCUUGAUGUCACAUGCAAGACUGUGGCCAAUAUGAUUAAGGGGAAAACUCCUGAGGAGAUUCGUAAAACCUUCAAUAUCAAAAAUGACUUUACUGCAGAGAAGGAGGCCCAGGUACGCAAAGAGAGCCAAUGGUGUAAAGAGAAGUGAACUGCUGUGCCUGUCACUGUAACACUAGAAGGAUUGUUCCAAAUGCUAGUUGCACUGCUCUGUUUAUAAUUGUUAAUAUUAGAGAUCA